rnacentral:lncRNA from 1 species
GCCCGUUAGACAUGUACACCUUACAAUCGUUCCAUACAACAAAUAUAGUAGACCUAUUGCAUAUAGUAUGAGAAAAACAGACGCAAAACACAAAAAUUUAACUUUGACCACUGAACCAUGAAAAUGAGGUCAAGGUCACAUGACAUCUGCCCGCUAGACAUGUACACCUUACAAUCAUUCCAUACAACAAAUAUAGUAGACCUAUUGCAUAUAGUAUGAGAAAAACAGACCAAAACACAAAAAUUUAACUAUAACCACCGAACCAUGAAAAUGAGGUCAAGGUCAGAUGACACCUGCCAGUUGGACAUGUACACCUUACAGUCCUUCCAUACAC